rnacentral:rRNA from 1 species
AACGUAGGAGGCGAGCGUUAUCCGGAUUUACUGGGCGUAAAGCGUACGCAGGUGGCUUCGUGAGUCGGACAUGAAAGCUCCCGGCUUAACUGGGAGAGGUUGUUCGAUACUGCGGGGCUUGAGGUUGGGAGAGGGACGUGGAAUUCCCGGUGUAGUGGUGGAAUGCGUAGAUAUCGGGAGGAACACCAGUGGCGCAAGCGGCGUCCUGGCCCACACCUGACGCUGAGGUACGAAAGCGUGGGUAGCAAACAGGAUUAGAUACCCGCGUAGUCCCUGAG